rnacentral:rRNA from 1 species
GACGAACGCUGGCGGCGUGCUUAACACAUGCAAGUCGAACGGAAAGGCCCUGCUUUUGUGGGUGGCUCGAGUGGCAAACGGGUGAGUAACACGUGAGUAACCUGCCCUUGACUUUGGGAUAACUUCAGGAAACUGGGGCUAAUACCGGAUAGGAGCUCCGGCUGAUGGGUGGGGGUUGGAAAGUUUCGGCGGUUGGGGAUGGACUCGCGGCUUAUCAGCUUGUUGGUGGGGUAGUGGCUUACCAAGGCUUUGACGGGUAGCCGGCCUGAGAGGGUGACCGGCCACAUUGGGACUGAGAUACGGCCCAGACUCCUACGGGAGGCAGCAGUGGGGAAUAUUGCACAAUGGGCGGAAGCCUGAUGCAGCAACGCCGCGUGCGGGAUGACGGCCUUCGGGUUGUAAACCGCUUUCGCCUGUGACGAAGCGUGAGUGACGGUAAUGGGUAAAGAAGCACCGGCUAACUACGUG